rnacentral:tRNA from 1 species
GAGGGUAUAGCUCAGUGGUAGAGCGCCUGCCUAGCAUGCAUGAGGUCCUGGGUUCAAUCCCCAGGAUCUCCA